rnacentral:rRNA from 1 species
ACUGAACGCUAGCGGCAGGCCUAAUACAUGCAAGUCGAACGGUGUCUUCGGACAUAGUGGCGCACGGGUGCGCAACACGUAUGCAACCUACCUUACAUUGGGGGAUAGCCUUUCGAAAGGGAGAUUAAUACCGCAUAAGACAGUAGCUGGGCAUCCAGCAGCUGUUAAAGAUUUAUCGAUGUAAGCUGGGCAUGCGUCCAAUUAGCUAGUUGGUGAGGUAACGGCUCACCAAGGCAAUGAUUGGUAGGGGAACUGAGAGGUCAAUCCCCCACACUGGCACUGAGAUACGGGCCAGACUCCUACGGGAGGCAGCAGUAGGGAAUAUUGGGCAAUGGACGCAAGCCUGACCCAGCCAUGCCGCGUGCAGGAUGAAGGCGUUAUGCGUUGUAAACUGCUUUUAUACAGGAAGAAACGACUCUUGCGAGAGGCAUUGACGGUACUGUAUGAAUAAGCACCGGCUAACUCCGUGCCAGCCGCCGCGGUAAGAC